rnacentral:rRNA from 1 species
CGUGAAAUUGUUGAAAGGGAAGCGCUCGCUACCAGACUUGGGUUCGGCGGUUCAACCGGGGCCACGCCCCGGGGCACUCCGCCGUCCCAGGCCAGCAUCAGCUUUCCGUCGGGGGCAAAGACGUCGGGAAUGUGGCUCCCCUCCGGGGGAGUGUUAUAGCCCGGCGUGUCAUACCCUUCGGGGGGCUGAGGUACGCGCUUCUGCAAGGAUGCUGG